AGCAUGUUGCACGCACACGUCCAUGGUUGCACGCAUAAUGAUCGCAUAUGGCCCACACUAAGGAAGAAUAUGCAUCUUCGAGAGAGGAGUCGUGACCAUGAAGAGGUUGAGGGUCAUUCAUGCAAGGCUUCUCGCCAAGUAAAGGCCGAAGGAAGGAAGGAGUUCGGCCCACCCAAGUGUCCCAUGAUGGACUCAAGUUUGGAUCCACCUAAGGAGGGCCAAGGAGAUUCGCUUAAAAGGAGCUUAAGCAACGUGAAGGAAAUCUUGGACCAAAUCAACAAAGCCCAACCCAAAGAGGCUCUCAAAGGCCCAACUUGUGAAGCCAAAAAAGAACCCAAUGAGCAUGAGGCCUUUAUGGCCUAAGGAUAAGCCAGCCCAAGGCCGCUCGGCCAAGAGGGACCUCAGCCAAGGUGAGUCACACAAACAAGCUUACACAUUCGUGGGAAGGGCAACCCCCUCUUGUUUUCUUUUCCUUUUAUGAGUUGCACUCUUGCGAAUGUUUUCUUCUUCAACUUUUGAUCAAUGUGAGUUAUGGAGGUUAGGACUCUAUUUAGGGAAAAGAUCAAAGAGAAAUAGUCCUUGAAUGAGCAAUACACGGCAAAAGCCAAUCCCGAAGGUUUUCUUGUACGGGUUGAGUCCUAUU
rnacentral:lncRNA from 1 species